UACGUAGGCAGCGAGCGUUGUUCGGAGUUACUGGGCGUAAAGAGUGCGUAGGCGGUUUUCUAAGUUUGGUGUGAAAUCUCCCGGCUUAACUGGGAGGGUGCGCCGAAGACUGGAAGGCUUGAGUAUGGGAGAGGUAAGCGGAAUUCCUGGUGUAGCGGUGAAAUGCGUAGAUAUCAGGAGGAACACCGGUGGCGAAGGCGGGUCUCUGGGCCGAUACUGACGCUGAGGAGCGAAAGCGUGGGGAGCGAACAGG
rnacentral:rRNA from 1 species